UCCAGCAUGGUGGCAC
rnacentral:miRNA from 1 species